CCUGAUCCAGCAACGCCGCGUGAGGGAUGACGGCCUUCGGGUUGUAAACCUCUUUCAGCAGGGACGAAGCGCAAGUGACGGUACCUGCAGAAGAAGCACCGGCCAACUACGUGCCAGCAGCCGCGGUAAUACGUAGGGUGCGAGCGUUGUCCGGAAUUAUUGGGCGUAAAGGGCUCGUAGGCGGUUUGUCGCGUCAGGAGUGAAAACUCGGGGCUUAACUCCGAGCCUGCUUCUGAUACGGGCAGACUAGAGGUAUGCAGGGGAGAACGGAAUUCCUGGUGUAGCGGUGAAAUGCGCAGAUAUCAGGAGGAACACCGGUGGCGAAGGCGGUUCUCUGGGCAUUACCUGACGCUGAGGAGCGAAAGUGUGGGGAGCGAACAGGAUUAGAUACCCUGGUAGUCCACACCGUAAACGUUGGGCGCUAGGUGUGGGACUCAUUCCACGAGUUCCGUGCCGCAGCUAACGCAUUAAGCGCCCCGCCUGGGGAGUACGGCCGCAAGGCUA
rnacentral:rRNA from 1 species